rnacentral:lncRNA from 1 species
UUGAUCCACUGGUUGACAGUUGUACCAUUCAAACGCCAUGUCUUUUAAGGUUGGUGGUAGCCAUUACAACCAAAUAUCUUCAGUUCUGCCAUUAUUAGCUAUAUAUGCUAUAAGAAACUGAGAUAAAUGUUGAUCGGGAUCUGCAUCCAAAAAUCCCCGAAAAGUAGGUAGUGGCACGUCACUAGUCGUACGAUCGCCUACUGUAUCCAUUUGUACUGCAAUUGGAAUGGCUGGUCCUCUUGACACCAUUGAAUUUCUUGUUCCGUUAAACUCCGUUUUAAAAUAAUCUCUGCUUUUCCUUAUUCUAAUUUUCGAGCUCUCAGUGCUCCUCGAUUUACUGUUAUUUUUUGCAAUUAGUUUUAUUGGUUGAAUUGCAGGUGAAAACAUUGGAUUUUGAAACACAAUAUAGUUA